rnacentral:pre_miRNA from 1 species
GAGAGAUAGUCUAGUCAACUGGUGUAGUCUGCAGAGAAUGUUAAACAUUCUCUGCAGACUACAUCAGUUGACUAGACUAUCUC